AGCUCCAAUAGCGUAUAUUAAAGUUGUUGCAGUUAAAAAGCUCGUAGUUGGAUUUCUGGUAGGAGCGACCGUUCCGAACUUGAUUGUUCGCGUAUUGAGUUGUCUCCAGCCAUCCUUGUGGAGAACUUUUCUUGCAUUAAUUUGUAGGGAUUGGGACCCGCAUCGUUUACUGUGAAGAAAUUAGAGUGUUUAAAGCAGGCAAUCGCUUGAAUACAUUAGCAUGGAAUAAUAAGAUAGGACUUUGGUACUAUUUUGUUGGUUUGCAUACCAAAUUAAUGAUCAACAGGAACAGUUUGAGGAUAUUCGUAUGAACAUGUCAGAGGUGAAAUUCUUGGAUUUUGAUCAGACGAACUACUGCGAAAGCAUUUAUCAAGGAUGUUUUCAUUAAUCAAGAACGAAA
rnacentral:rRNA from 1 species